AUUCUACAUUCAGAUAUGCGAUGUUAUGCCAUUUCCUUUUACAAUAAAUUCCAUUUGGCAGCUUCUUGUAUAUUUGAAGGAAAACAAAAUUGGUGAGAUCCUGUAUGACUGUAAGUAAGAUAAAUACAGUUCAAGCAAUGUUAGUUGACUCAGAAUCUAACAAUCCCAUGAACAUAAACCUUUCUCCUAUCUGGAAAUAACUAAGGAAAAAUUGGUGUUUUGCAUGUCGAAGCUGCAAUAGUAUUGUGGGAGACCAGAUGUGGUCAUAUGAACAGUGAUGACAAUACUAGGUAAGAUGAGCAACAAAGUUCAGUUCAAAGGUGGACCAAUGAGAUAGGUUCCAGUAGGAGCAGGGUUAAGAUGAUGAUAAAGCCAUAAAGGUAUUAAAGAAUGUAAAUGCCAUCGAAUUUAGCAUGAGGCACGGAAGUAUCAGAUGAGCAAUUUUUCCCAUUCGCAAGCCUGAAGCAGGAUUUUUAUUUAUUCCUUCUACCGUGCAACCAUCUCUAACAAAGAAGAAAAGCGUCACAAACCAUGAAACUUCAUUUACUAAUGCAAAAUCGAUAUGCAACCCUGAAACCAACAAUGCCGCUGAGCAAAUUGACUUAUUUAGUCUCUAUUUUGACAGGUAGUUUUGGGAGAUUGCAAAAAUCCUAUGCGAAACCAUUUACAGUUUUUCUUUUGCUAUUGAUAGCUGCAGCACAUCAGUUCAGCCAGCAAAGAAAAGAUAACCUUUGCAGAGGGAACUGACAUCUCCAAAUCAAAUAUCCUGCAUGAGAGUUUAAUUAGAAAAUACUGCACCAAAUUGAUCGCUUCAAGUCAUGACGUAUGGUUGGGAACUCAGUUGCUAUUUGUCGACAUCACAUUUUCCCUGGAGCUACUUGCAAAGCAAUUGCGAGGCCAGAAGGUCACAGACAGAGAAAAAAGGAAGUUAAAAAGAACAUUGAACGAUAUUGCUACACUUAUCCCUGUUACAGUUCUAAUGCUCCUUCCUGUAUCACCUGUAGGCCAUGCAGCAAUGCUAGCAGCAAUCAACAAGCACAUACCAUCUUUGAUUCCAUCACCAUACACUUCUGAGCGUUUGGAUGUUGCGAAACAACUGAAAAGAACAAAGAAGAUGGAAGUUACAUCGUGGAGCAACCUUGAAGACACUACAUCUUAAGUAUU